GCCCCCUGCACACGACCCUCAGCACCCCACGUCUGGCGCACGGCUUGGCGCCGCUCGAAGUCCGCCGCCACUGACUUGACGGCGAUGAGCAGGUCAGGUCCGUCAGCAGUCUAGGCCAGGCUGCCAUCGGGAUUCGCCAGGCCCAGCAAGUCUUCUGCCAGGCUGGUGAGCUCGUUCUCCUCAAGGGCCUCUACCAGGCGCUGCAGCGUGGCUCGGCGGCCCUCGGCCUGCACAAAGCGCCGCAGCAGCUGAAAGGCCUGCUCGUACAGCCCUUCGCGCUCGUAUUCAUAGGCCAGUGAGUCAAGAGCCGGGUCCCGCAGCGCCCGGCAACCACGCUGCAAGGAGCGCCCCACCUUGCGCCACUUGAGGCCCACUGAGCGCGCAAACGUCAGUUGGUCCUGCAGGCUCAGCGGCCGGUUCACUGCAGGGGGAAUGGGAAGUGGCGUGAGCUGGGGAGAGGAGACACUUCCAUUCCCACCCUGCGACUAUCCUGCCCAGACCUCGCCCCUCCCCAGACUCCAUCCUACAGAGGACCCAGCCUUUGCCGCUCUCCGGGCACCUCACCGACAGGCUGACCCUGGAACAGAAAAGUCUGGCCAGACGGCGGUGGCGGCAGCUUCUCCGCAGUAGAGGUGGCUGGAGCGCCCUCCACGUCACCCCCUUGGCCCCCUGAGCCGCAGGUCAGAUUUCUGAGCGCAUCCUCCAACUCUGUGAGUUCCUCAUCCCGGAGCCGGUCAGGCUAGGGAGGAGAGUGCGGCAUUGGUGGGGUCUUAGCCUCGGAUCCCCACCCCACCUCACCCUGGCCCCAGCCCGGCCGCACCUUCUGGGCGAAGAUGAAAUUCAAACAGCGUUCCUCGUCUGUCAGCAAGGCGUCCAGCCGCUCUGCGCUGGCGCGCAGCUCCAGUUGCAAAGGCACGGAACUCAGGGCCAGAGCAGCCUCCAAGCACGCCUGCAGAGCGGUGCGCAGUGCCCCCUCGCGGUAGGCCCGGAGGAAGCGGCUGCAGGCCUGGCGCCCACAGAAACGCAAUUGAACAAUCAGCUGCGGAUCGCUGCGGUGAAUCUUGAGCAUCUGCAGCUCCUCCGGGCUCCCGCCACUCUCUGCGGAGGCGGGCAGUCAGGCACCACGAGGUCCCCUAUCGGGCCCGUUCUCCAAGAGGCCAGAGGAGGAACGAAGCCCGAGGUCAGACUCCCUCCCUAUCCCCAGACCUGGGGGCAAGGGUAUAACCCAGAGCUCCCAGCAGGGAAGCAAAAUUGGGAGGCAGACAACAACAACCCAGAAUAAAGGCCAAGACCUCUCACAGAGAGCACCUUAA